rnacentral:rRNA from 1 species
CCUACGGGAGGCAGCAGUAAGGAAUAUUGGUCAAUGGACGAAAGUCUGAACCAGCCAUGCCGCGUGAAGGAUGAAGGCCCUCUGGGUUGUAAACUUCUUUUAUCUGGGACGAAAAAAGGGCUUUCUAGCUCACUUGACGGUACCAGAGGAAUAAGCACCGGCUAACUCCGUGCCAGCAGCCGCGGUAAUACGGAGGGUGCAAGCGUUAUCCGGAUUCACUGGGUUUAAAGGGUGCGUAGGUGGGUCUGUAAGUCAGUGGUGAAAUCUCCGAGCUUAACUCGGAAACUGCCAUUGAUACUAUAGGUCUUGAAUCAUCUGGAGGUAAGCGGAAUAUGUCAUGUAGCGGUGAAAUGCUUAGAUAUGACAUAGAACACCAAUUGCGAAGGCAGCUUACUACGGGUGCAUUGACACUGAGGCACGAAAGCGUGGGGAUCAAACAGGAUUAGAUACCCUGGUAGUCCACGCCCUAAACGAUGGAUACUCGACAUCAGCGAUACACUGUUGGUGUCUGAGCGAAAAGCAUUAAGUAUCCCACCUGGAAGUACGACCGCAAGGUUGAAACUCAAAUGAAUUGACGGCUGAGAGNGNGAGAGACGACGAGGGAGGAG